CACGUAGGGCGCGAGCGUUGUCCGGAAUUAUUGGGCGUAAAGAGCUCGUAGGCGGCCUGUUGCGUCCGCUGUGAAAGCCCGGGGCUUAACCCCGGGUCGGCAGUGGAUACGGGGCAGGCUAGAGGUAGGUAGGGGGAGAAUGGAAUUCCCGGUGUAGCGGUGAAAUGCGCAGAUAUCGGGAGGAACACCGGUGGCGAAGGCGGUUCUCUGGGCCUUACCUGACGCUGAGGAGCGAAAGCGUGGGGAGCGAACAGG
rnacentral:rRNA from 1 species